AAAAAAAAAAAAAACUUAAAAAUUACAGGGGGAGAGGAGGGAAACCAAGAUCAUUGCGGCCAAAACAGACCACCAUGAUAGUGACGAUGAACAAGACUCUGCCUUUUCGAACUGCAGAGAAUCAACUGCCAAUGGCAUGUUUUCUUGGUCCGGGCUGCACUUGGAUUCGUGGGGUGGAUGGGCACUGUACAUUAUGGCUC
rnacentral:misc_RNA from 1 species